CCUACGGGAGGCAGCAGUGGGGGAUAUUGCACAAUGGGGGAAACCCUUAUGCAGCGACGCCGCGUGUGUGAAGACGGUCCUCUGGAUUGUAAACCACUGUCCCCAGGGACGAAGAUGACGGUACCUGGGGAUGAAGCUCCGGCUAACUACGUGCCAGCAGCCGCGGUAAUACGUAGGGAGCCAGCGUUGUCCGUAAUUACUGUGUGUAAAUGGAUCGUAGGCGGGACUGGAAGUUGGGGGUAAAAUCUACCGGCUCAACCGGUAGCCGCACUCAAAACUGAAGUUCUUGAGUGAAGUAGAGGCAGGCGGAAUUCCUAGUGUAGCGGUGAAAUGCGUAGAGAUUAGGAGGAACACCAGUGGCGAAGGCGGCCUGCUGGGC
rnacentral:rRNA from 1 species